GAUCCAUAAACAAACACAACAUUAAUCUAAGAAUCCAUAAUUUGAUUAAAAAUGAAAGAAACUAUAAGUCUUGAAAGAAGAACGAUACAUCAUCUUCAAGCAGUUGGUCAAGUUUUGGUGGAGGGUAAAUCAUUGUCCUGUUUAGCAGUCAAUAAAUCAUUUAUGUGCGGAUACACAACUUUUUCAUCAAGCUGAUUUUGUGCCCAUAUUAACAUCUACAAAAGGCUUGGAAGCUUUGGAUCUGUUUAAAUCAAAGAUUAAUCAUAAGAAAAUAGCAUUUCAUACCAUGAUCUUCUACACAUAAAUAUUCCUAAUUGUAUGUGUUCUUAAAUGAUUUCAUUGUCUACUCGUCGUGUCGAUUCAGCUUUGCCAUUUCAUGUCUAGUUUCACUGUUGUUAUUUUUUAUGUCUAUUUCGCUAUUCCUCAUCUCGAGUCCUACUUGGUUGAAUGUCGUUGAAUCUGCAUUCUUUGUUUUCACUGUCUCUAAGCAUCAACUUUCAUUCAAUUUCGUUACUCUUCAUGUUGUCUUCUUUCCAAAAAUAAGGAUAGAAUCUCAAAGCUAAUUAGUAAUGAAGUUGUUUUGCCUAUUGUUUGUUGAAUAUGACAGCUUGUUUUCUCCAUCUGUGAAUCCCGUAAUUGUUUACUGUCCAGCAUUGCCCUGUUUGAAUCGAGAUUAUCCCUCCUUUUAGAAUGAAGUUUAGUAAAAUAUUAUUUAUCUAUCCUCUUUUACUGUAUUGGUGUAGUUAUUACACCAUGGAGUCCAAUUCCUAUUUCAUAAUUGUUCCUUGGCAGCAUUCUUAAUAAUGGGAUGUUGAUAUCAUGGUUUUGUAUCAUCAUGAUUGACUAGAUGAGUUGAAAGCUAGAGUAAGAUAAAUAUGGUCAAAAGGUUCCAAAGAGAUCACACUAGAGCUUUGAGUUCUUCAUACUGUGAACUAUCACAUUUUAAGAUUGAUAAAAAUGCUGAAUAAACCACUUGGUUACUGAAAGUCCCUGGAGAUAAGCCACCCAACCCCAAUCCUAGAAUAUGAAAAGCCACCCAGCCUCACUCUAUCCUGAUGUACUUUCCUUCCUUUUCAUUUUCUCUGCCCUUGAGUAGGAUCUUGGAAGCUAGAAAAACUUCUCUUCUUUGCUCAACAAGCACAAAUGUGCAAAGGAAAAGCUGGACGAGAAAAGAAUGUCAUUUUCUCUGAAGAUAGAGGUCGAUAUAUAAAGCCAAUGCUUCCAAAGGGUCCAGUGAAGAGAUUGGCAGUUGAUGCAACUCUAAGAGCUGCUGGCCAUAUCAGAAGUUACAAAGAGCAAAACAUGUCCAAAAAACUCAGAAGGCUUAUGUAGAGCAAAUUGACAUGAGAGCCAAAAGAAUGGCAUGCAAAGCAGGAACUCUGGUCUGUAUCAUUCCCUUUCGAGAAGAUGCUGCUGAA